UACCCAUGAUGAGGAUAAGCAUUCAAUAAGUCUUUAAACCUUUCCUAACAUUGAUAAAAGGUUUCACUAUCUUUGUGCCCAAACUUCAUGAUUUGCCUUCAUAGGGCA